rnacentral:rRNA from 1 species
CAGCAGUCGCCGCGGUAAUACGAAGGGGGCUAGCGUUGCUCGGAAUUACUGGGCGUAAAGGGCGCGUAGGCGGACAGUUCAGUCAGGGGUGAAAGCCCGGGGCUCAACCUCGGAAUUGCCUUUGAUACUGGCUGUCUUGAGUACGGGAGAGGUGCGUGGAACUCCGAGUGUAGAGGUGAAAUUCGUAGAUAUUCGGAAGAACACCAGUGGCGAAGGCGACAAACUGGCCCGUUACUGACGCUGAUGCGCGAAAGCGUGGGGAGCAAACAGGAUUAGAUACCCCUGUAGUCCCUGUCUCUUAUAC